CCUGACUGCUAUCGGAUUGAUACUAAGCCAUGCGAGUCUUUGCAGUAAUGCAAGGCAUACGGCUCAGUAACACGUAGUCAACUUACCCUAUGGACGAGGAUAAUCUCGGGAAACUGAGCAUAAUACUCGAUAGAUCAUAAUGCCUGGAAUGGUUUAUGGUUGAAAUGAUUCGUCGCCAUAGGAUGGGACUGCGGCCUAUCAGCUUGUUGGUGAGGUAAUGGCCCACCAAGGCGAUUACAGGUACGGGCUCUGAGAGGAGAAGCCCGGAGAUGGGUACUGAGACAAGGACCCAGGCCCUAUGGGGCGCAGCAGGCGAGAAAACUUUGCAAUGUGCGAAAGCACGACAAGGUUAAUCCGAGUGAUUUCUGCUAAAGGAAUCUUUUGCAAGUCAUAAAACCACUAGUGAAUAAGGGGUGGGCAAGUUCUGGUGUCAGCCGCCGCGGUAAAACCAGCACCUCAAGUGGUCAGGAGGAUUAUUGGGCCUAAAGCAUCCGUAGCCGGCUCUGUAAGUUUUCGGUUAAAUCCAUGUGCUCAACGCAUGGGCUGCCGAAAAUACUGCAUGGCUAGGGAGUGGGAGAGGUAGACGGUACUCAGUAGGAAGGGGUAAAAUCCUUUGAUCUAUUGAUGACCACCUGUGGCGAAGGCGGUCUACCAGAACACGUUCGACGGUGAGGGAUGAAAGCUGGGGGAGCAAACCGGAUUAGAUACCCGGGUAGUCCCAGCUGUAAACGAUGCAGACUCGAUGAUGCAUUGGCAUAUAGCCAGUGCAGUGUCGCAGGGAAGCCGUUAAGUCUGCCGCCUGGGAAGUACGUACGCAAGUAUGAAACUUAAAGGAAUUGGCGGGGGAGCACCACAAGGGGUGAAGCCUGCGGUUC
rnacentral:rRNA from 1 species